rnacentral:lncRNA from 1 species
UAUACAUUGAGUUCCAGGAUGGUAAGAAGGCUUGUUAAGGAGAUGUUGAUUCUCAAGUUAUUCUGUUGCGUGGAUGAGCAUUGCUUCCAGGACUCACAUAAUUGUACUUAAAAUCAUAGAAUGUUAGAGCUGGAGGAAUCCUUAGAGUUUGCCCAAGAUCCUUCAACAGCAUUUCACAGGUGCAUCUGGAUCCAAGGCAAAGAAACUAUGGCAAAGAAGCCAACCAUGACUUCUUCUUGGCUCUGUAAGAGGAUGUUACACUUGCUACAAGUGUUACACAUAUUCCCAUUCUUUUCUAAGACUAAAGAAAGUAUCAAAGAUGCAAAUUUCAAUAAUAACAUGUUCAAG